CAACAUUGUUUAAUAAUUGUAGCACUAUUGAAUAGGCCUGAUCCUUUGGCUUUAUAUUCCUUCAUUCUUCUCUCUCAUCACAUUCCUUGCACUGUAUAUUUCUGGUUCCUGUCUCUCUAUAGCUUCUAGGGUUUUCCUUUUUGACAGUAUAAAUUCAAGAAACUUUUGUAUACCAAUGGCUGAAGGAUCCUUAAAAUGAUCAAGGGAAAAACCAGUAACAGAUUUCAGAUGGAAAAGUUCUUGAUUAUUAGUAGUGUCUUUUCUUUUGAGUAAAGAAACCCUUCUUUGUACCUCACACCCACCCCGCCCCACCCCCAGGAAAAAGAGAGAUUCUUUAGCCGUUUGGUUUUGCUUGAAGAUAGAUCAAAAAGGUAUGUUGAUUAUUCAGAACUUUUCCUUAAAGAAAAGGAUUCAUUUGCUUCUGUUUUGCAGGACAAUUUAGAUGAUGAGGUAAUUUAACGUGGUAUCAAGGUUGAUCGUGGUCAUGAGUUUAACUUUCAAGUGUGAAAAAACCAUUCUAGAUUUGAACCAUUGAAAAAAAAAAUUCAAAUAAAGAAAUUUGUUCUUCCUCUCUAAUGGUUUAAGCUUUUAAAUUAGAUGGUACAGCACCAUAUUUAGAAUACUGCAAAACAUGUCUCGAUCACUACUAUCCAUUUACGAAAAUUAUUGUUCGUGGAUCUUGGCUUUGAGAAAAUUGGAAAGUACGAAAAAUCCUGCUCAAUUUCAAACUUCUAUUCUUGUUCUUCUUGUCCAGGAAGGCCUUCAAGAAUAAUAUGAUGAAAUAGUUAAUGUAGAUGUACUCCCUUGAUGUUUUCCUUCCUCAAUUAUCAUGUUUUUGUGUAAUGAAAAUAAUUCCUGUUAGCUCAUGCAGGUCUAAACAAUUAUAUAGCUAAUUUAAAUGAAGGAAACAUUAAAAGAAGAAAAUGUUAAGUAAUUUAAUUGUUAUAUAUAGGAUUUCACCUAGCUAUUUGAAUUUUAGAAAAUUUCUUGCCUAAGCAAGAUUAAUUAUGUAAAAUAUUUAGUUAUUUGGAUUACUGAUUUAUUUCAAAAUUGUAAAUGCAUCUCUUCAUUGAUGUGAAAAUAGUGCCAGGAGCUUAUCUCUGAAUAGAAAAAAGAACGGAUAUGCAGGCCCCAAAUGAAUUGGCUUAUUCGAAAAAGUACCAUCCAAAUUCUUUUUUUUAUCGUACAUUCUAUAUGUUCAUAAAAAAGGGGUUGUAAGACUAUAUUUAGCACCUUUAUUAGCUAUUAUAUUAACUUGAACUACCUAAAUAAUUAUUUGUUUAAAUUCAUUCUUCCAUUAUUAAUCAUUCAUGACCACUACCCAUUUUAUAUUUAACUUCAAAAUAUGUAUAU
rnacentral:lncRNA from 1 species